CUAUACAUGCAGUCGAGCGAACGAUAAGGAGCUUGCUCCUUUGACGUUAGCGGCGGACGGGUGAGUAACACGUGGGUAACCUACCUAUAAGACUGGGAUAACUUCGGGAAACCGGAGCUAAUACCGGAUAACAUUUGGAACCGCAUGGUUCUAAAGUGAAAGAUGGUUUUGCUAUCACUUAUAGAUGGACCCGCGCCGUAUUAGCUAGUUGGUAAGGUAACGGCUUACCAAGGCGACGAUACGUAGCCGACCUGAGAGGGUGAUCGGCCACACUGGAACUGAGACACGGUCCAGACUCCUACGGGAGGCAGCAGUAGGGAAUCUUCCGCAAUGGGCGAAAGCCUGACGGAGCAACGCCGCGUGAGUGAUGAAGGGUUUCGGCUCGUAAAACUCUGUUAUUAGGGAAGAACAAACGUGUAAGUAACUGUGCACGUCUUGACGGUACCUAAUCAGAAAGCCACGGCUAACUACGUGCCAGCAGCCGCGGUAAUACGUAGGUGGCAAGCGUUAUCCGGAAUUAUUGGGCGUAAAGCGCGCGUAGGCGGUUUCUUAAGUCUGAUGUGAAAGCCCACGGCUCAACCGUGGAGGGUCAUUGGAAACUGGGAAACUUGAGUGCAGAAGAGGAAAGUGGAAUUCCAUGUGUAGCGGUGAAAUGCGCAGAGAUAUGGAGGAACACCAGUGGCGAAGGCGACUUUCUGGUCUGUAACUGACGCUGAUGUGCGAAAGCGUGGGGAUCAAACAGGAUUAGAUACCCUGGUAGUCCACGCCGUAAACGAUGAGUGCUAAGUGUUAGGGGGUUUCCGCCCCUUAGUGCUGCAGCUAACGCAUUAAGCACUCCGCCUGGGGAGUACGACCGCAAGGUUGAAACUCAAAGGAAUUGACGGGGACCCGCACAAGCGGUGGAGCAUGUGGUUUAAUUCGAAGCAACGCGAAGAACCUUACCAAAUCUUGACAUCCUUUGAAAACUCUAGAGAUAGAGCCUUCCCCUUCGGGGGACAAAGUGACAGGUGGUGCAUGGUUGUCGUCAGCUCGUGUCGUGAGAUGUUGGGUUAAGUCCCGCAACGAGCGCAACCCUUAAGCUUAGUUGCCAUCAUUAAGUUGGGCACUCUAGGUUGACUGCCGGUGACAAACCGGAAGAAAGGUGGGGAUGACGUCAAAUCAUCAUGCCCCUUAUGAUUUGGGCUACCCCCGUGCUACAAUGG
rnacentral:rRNA from 1 species